rnacentral:rRNA from 1 species
AUACGUAGGGUGCAAGCGUUAAUCGGAAUUACUGGGCGUAAAGCGUGCGCAGGCGGUUUUGUAAGACAGUGGUGAAAUCCCCGGGCUCAACCUGGGAACUGCCAUUGUGACUGCAAGGCUGGAGUGCGGCAGAGGGGGAUGGAAUUCCGCGUGUAGCAGUGAAAUGCGUAGAUAUGCGGAGGAACACCGAUGGCGAAGGCAAUCCCCUGGGCCUGCACUGACGCUCAUGCACGAAAGCGUGGGGAGCAAACAGGAUUAGAUACCCUGGUAGUCCACGCCCUAAACGAUGUCAACUGGUUGUUGGGGAUUUAGUUUCUCAGUAACGAAGCUAAAGCGUGAAGUUGACCGCCUGGGGAGUACGGCCGCAAGGUUAAAACUCAAAUGAAUUGACGGGG